GUACCCGUAGCUCAGCCGGAUAGAGCAACUGCCUUCUAAGCAGUAGGUCGUGGGUUCGAGUCCCCCCGGGUACGCCA
rnacentral:tRNA from 1 species